UGCCUUGAGUUGACAAAGAAGGGUGGU
rnacentral:piRNA from 1 species